GACGAACGCUGGCGGCGUGCUUAACACAUGCAAGUCGAACGUGAUUUUUGUGGAAACUCCUUCGGGAAUGGAAGUAAAAUGAAAGUGGCGAACGGGUGAGUAACACGUGAGCAACCUACCUUACACAGGGGGAUAGCCGUUGGAAACGACGAUUAAUACCGCAUGAGACCACAGAACCGCAUGGUAUAGGGGUCAAAGAUUUAUCGGUGUAAGAUGGGCUCGCGUCUGAUUAGCUAGUUGGAAGGGUAAAGGCCUACCAAGGCGACGAUCAGUAGCCGGUCUGAGAGGAUGAACGGCCACAUUGGAACUGAGACACGGUCCAAACUCCUACGGGAGGCAGCAGUGGGGAAUAUUGCACAAUGGGGGAAACCCUGAUGCAGCGACGCCGCGUGAGCGAAGAAGGUUUUCGGAUCGUAAAGCUCUGUCC
rnacentral:rRNA from 1 species